rnacentral:pre_miRNA from 1 species
UCUCACGUCGUUGAUGAUGUACUGGGCAGAAUUCACGGUUUACCGUGAAUUCUGCCCAGUACAUCAUCAACGACGUGAGA